GCCAGACAGCCGGUGGAGGGGGAGGGGGGUCGCGGCGAGCUCCUCCUGUCCGUCCCCAGGCCAUGGAUUUGGAACUUUCUUUGAGUUUGGGUUGAAUGUUGGUUUCUUGUGGAGCAGAAGGGACCAAAUCGUUGUGAUGGACAAAUGAGGGACAACGACUUGCAGUUCUGAUGUCUUUCCUUCUGAUGGUAUAUGCAGGCCCAUCAUUGGAGUAUCUCUGAGCUCCCCAAGUAAAGAGGAUACAAGGCUCUGUCAUUGUGCUGAGGCGGCCAGAUAAAAAGGAAGAAGAAGGGUUAAUGUGCUGCACCUGUGUGCCUAGUUACCCCCACGGACCACGGAUUCACUCAGCCAAUUAAUCCUGCC
ensembl:lncRNA